rnacentral:misc_RNA from 1 species
GAUGAAGAACGUAGCGAAAUGCGAUACUUGGUGUGAAUUGCAGAAUCCCGUGAACCAUCGAGUCUUUGAACGCAAGUUGCGCCCGAAGCCACUAGGCCGAGGGCACGCCUGCCUGGGCGUCACACGCCGUUGCCCCCCCAUCUACUCCUUCGGGAUUGCGGGGGGGCGGAUGAUGGCCUCCCGUGCGCCUAGCCGCGCGGUUGGCAUAAAUACCAAGUCCUCGGCGACGCGCGCCACGACAAUCGGUGGUUGCGAAACCUCGGUUGCCCGUCGUGUGCGUUCGUCGCGCAUCGAGGGCUCGAAAAAAUGCUCGGCUCCGGCUGGGCUUUCAACGCGACCCCAGGUCAGGCGGGGUUACCCGCUGAAUUUAAGCAUAUCAAUAAGCGGAGGA